rnacentral:rRNA from 1 species
GUUGAACGCUGGCGGCAGGCCUAACACAUGCAAGUCGAGCGGAUGAAGGGAGCUUGCUCCUGGAUUCAGCGGCGGACGGGUGAGUAAUGCCUAGGAAUCUGCCUGGUAGUGGGGGAUAACGUCCGGAAACGGGCGCUAAUACCGCAUACGUCCUGAGGGAGAAAGUGGGGGAUCUUCGGACCUCACGCUAUCAGAUGAGCCUAGGUCGGAUUAGCUAGUUGGUGGGGUAAAGGCCUACCAAGGCGACGAUCCGUAACUGGUCUGAGAGGAUGAUCAGUCACACUGGGACUGAGACACGGUCCAGACUCCUACGGGAGGCAGCAGUGGGGAAUAUUGGACAAUGGGCGAAAGCCUGAUCCAGCCAUGCCGCGUGUGUGAAGAAGGUCUUCGGAUUGUAAAGCACUUUAAGUUGGGAGGAAGGGCAGUAAGUUAAUACCUUGCUGUUUUGACGUUACCAACAGAAUAAGCACCGGCUAACUUCGUG